AAAGUACUCCCUUUGUCCCGAAUUACUUAUCGCAGGCAUGGAUGUAUCUAGAUAUAUUUUAGUUCUAGAUACAUCCAUUUCUGCGACGAGUAAUUUGGGACGGAGGAAGUAGAUG
rfam:Triticum urartu cultivar G1812 contig2564, whole genome shotgun sequence.